rnacentral:rRNA from 1 species
UACGGGGGGGGCAAGCGUUGUUCGGAAUUACUGGGCGUAAAGGGCUCGUAGGUGGCCAACUAAGUCAGACGUGAAAUCCCUCGGCUUAACCGGGGAACUGCCUUUGAUACUGAAGAUCUUGAGUCCGGGAGAGGUGAGUGGAACUGCGAGUGUAGAGGUGAAAUUCGUAGAUAUUCGCAAGAACACCAGUGGCGAAGGCGGCUCACUGGCCCGGUACUGACGCUGAGGCACGAAAGCGUGGGGAGCAAACAGG